rnacentral:tRNA from 1 species
GGCGUGGUACCCAAUCGGUAAGGGACCGGUCUGCAAAACCGCUAUUGGUUGGUUCGACUCCAAUCCACGCCU